rnacentral:rRNA from 1 species
CGCCUCUUGAUCAAACUAUAAGAGGUCCAGCCUGCCCAGUGACAUUGUUCAACGGCCGCGGUAUCCUAACCGUGCGAAGGUAGCGUAAUCACUUGUCCUUUAAAUGAAGACUAGUAUGAAUGGCCUCACGAAAGCUAUGCUGUCUCCUUUUUCCAAUCAGUUAAACUAAUCUCCCCGUGAAGAAGCGGGGAUAUAUUUAUAAGACGAGAAGACCCUAUGGAGCUUUAAACAAUUGAAACACUUGCACUUAUUUCCACCCCAUAAUCCACAAUUAACUCCACAUUUUGUUUCUAGUUUUAGGUUGGGGUGACCGCGGAGAAAAAAUCAACCUCCACGUCGAAAGAGACAUCUCUAAACAAAAAGCGACAGCUUUAUGUAUUAACACAUUAACCUUAAUUGACCCAAUAAAUUGAUCAACGAACCAAGUUACCCUAGGGAUAACAGCGCAAUCCAUUUCAAGAGCUCUUAUCGACAAAUGGGUUUACGACCUCGAUGUUGGAUCAGGGUAUCCCAGUGGUGCAGCCGCUUCUAAUGGUUCGUUUGUUCAACGAUUAAAACCCU